rnacentral:piRNA from 1 species
UGCUAUAAUUUGUUGACUAACAGUGGUGU